AUGGCAUGCGAGGGAGAAUAAAAGUCUCCAUUGUUCUCUGCUGUUCUCCUUGAAGAGGCAAACACCAAGUAACCACAACAAAAUGAUCUCUGUGGAGCCCCGUCUGCAUGGAGACCGGGAGUGACAACAGUCGAGUCCCUCAGCAAACACCUGUAGACACUCUCGGCCAGCUGAUGGCAAACCAGACCCGCUUACUGGACUCAUUCCUGUACUUUUCUCCCAACAAACCAUGACACGCUGAGAUGUGAAGGCUGUCAACUUUUCUUUGUAAAUGUUUCAACCCAGGAAGACAUUAUCUUACCCGCCGUGAAGCCUUCUGGAAACACAUUCCUCUGGAGCAGCAAAAGGGGAAGCCAAUUCUGACGCACACCAACCUAGAUGCUGGAAGUUUCCUUCUGCCCAGCUCUUAGCAAGGCACCACGGGGGACAGAGUGAAUAAAGAAGAAUACAAGAAGGCCACCGCUCUCUUGAAGCUCAGAAUUCUAGAAGGGGGAGAAGAUACUAGGUAAGUAAGGAAAUAAGUAAGCAAGACCAGAGAGACUGUAAUGCCUGCUGUGAGGGAACAGAGAGUAACGUGCCAGAGAGAGGAACUCGCUGCUGUGUAUAGAAAAAAUGGGCUGGAAGCGUCAGAGGACCUGCAGAGAUCUGCUAUGAGCUGACAUCACCUGGGACGGCCCCAGGUGACCAGGUGGCCACAGUGGGAACGGCUUCAGGAUGUACGUGGGAGAACCAGCUGGACAGGGUGAUGGAGUAGAAGUGGCAGGUAAAGAAAAGAGAAUAGUGAUUUGGUUUGAGAAACAAACAAGGUCAAAGAUUGGGAGAGGGGGAAAGUCUUGUGUUCAUGUGAACACACAGCCUUCGAGAUGCCUUAAGAAUUCAGAACUACUCAUUAGCAUACUCGAAAGACCUGCUGGACAUAUGCCACCUCUCUUCUCUCUGCUGGGCCCUCGUGACCCCAACCUUUAUAGCAAAAGCUUAUAAAUGUAGAAAGGGAGAUUGGAGAGGGUCUGGCUUUAGAUGUUUAACAUCAACUGAUUCUUUUACAACAGAGUUGGCAAACCUUUUCUUAAAGGCUGAGAGUCACUAUUUUAGUGUUUAUAGGCCAUGUGGUCCCUGCUGCAGUAACACUCACAUCUGCUGUUCGAGAACAAAAGCAACGGACAGUCAUGGCUGUACUUCUGUAAUACUUUAUUUACAAAAACACAGUCCAUGUUCGCUGUCCUCUGCCCUCCAGCUCCUGUACUUGAUUGAAUGAAGGGUUCAAACUCAAAGCUCCUGUGGUUUGGAAACAUAAAACCAGCUGUAUGACACUGGAUAAGUUACUUAACUGCUCUGAGCCUCAGUUUCCUCACCUCUGGAAUGUGGGUGAUAUAAUACCUGUCUCACAGGAUUGCUGCAAGGAUUAGAUGAAGUAGUAACUGUGCUUAGCGCACAGCAAAAGCUCAACAGAUACUGCUCUCCAUAUCACGAUGGUAAAAAUACCAAAUAACCAGCUUUCCUUGACACUGACCUCCAAAACAUGCACGCCCUGUCCUAACAAGGCAGGUACUUGUCAAACUGUGAAAUAAUGCAAAUUUCAUCUUAAAAAAAUAAUCCCAUGUGGCUAUUGGUUUUGCAUUGUCUGAUGGUACUUUCUAGGUCAAAGAACAUUUUGUAACAGAAGCACUAAGGUGGAUGUAGAAAUGGAAGGUCAAAACAGAACAAAGUAAAGGCCCGGACAGCAGAGUGCUGCCAGAAAGGGCACGGAGUUUGAGGAACCCACCUGCCUCCAGUCACUUUGCGCAACAAGGCCCUCCGGGUGGCAGGACCCUGUGGCCAUCCAGGGCUUCCCGAGAAGAGGUCCCUGCCCUUCAGAGCUUACAGCCCACCACCUCCUUCUCUGGGUGGAGAGGCCCUGCCUGCCACGCCGCCCUGGGGGCUGGGAGGGAGAAGAGCUGACAGAGAAGAAAGCUGGGCAGGCAGAGCUGGGAUGGGCAGAAGAAGCUGGCCUUGGAUGAGGGAAGGUCUCCCAGUGGGGAGGGUUGGGCUCAGGGGCCACGGAUCUGUUCUCUUGGGGACCCACAGGCUCACACUGGAAAUUGAAGCUGAUGAGGUCCACUCACUCUUCACCAAAAGACAUGUGUAGUUUUAUUGAUAGGGGACCCAAAGCUGACAUUUUCGAGUGGCUAUUUUACCCACUGUAGGAAGUCAUCCCAGGAUCUGAAAUGCAGGCUUAAGGUAUUCUGGAAACAGCCUAGAUUUAUUUGACUAUAGACAUCUAGCUAAUCUCCUGGGGGUGCCCUGCAGCAGCCCCCCCUUCCCCCAUGCAGGUCCUGAGUUACUGCUCCCAUCACAUCACGUAGCCCCUCACCUCUGCUGGCUUCUCCUCUCCCCUGAACCUGGCUUCUCCCCUGCUCAGGCUUCUCCUAGCCAAGCUGGCACA